CAUCCAACCCUACGGCUGCGACGAAGAACGUGGAAACGGCUGUAUUCAUAAGCAGAGGAGGAGAAGAGGCUUCGAUGGACGACGAAUCAUAUGCAUAUGGCUCAUCUGCCGUUGCGUCUCUGGCUUCACCGAUGCGUCUCCAAAUUAUCCCUCUUAGAUGAAUCUCCAAAGCGUCACGAAAACUUAACCGAAGGCGUCAAUCUUAUACCUGUUUCCUUCAUGUCUCAGUUCCAUAGAUCACGACCUGAUUGUAAUUUAUGCGCUUCUUGGGUUAGGUUCUAUCUCUGUGAGUUUUGUUUCUAACUCACAUUUAGAUUUGUAAAAUUGAUGUUUCAAUGAAAAUUUUGUUUUGUUCUUAGUGCAACAAGAGAACCUGGAACCAUUGCUUUUAUUUCAUUUUGAAUGGUGCUUGAUUUGUGAUUUGACGAGUGAUUAGAUAAAAGGAUGAAUGCUUUAAUCACUUUGUGUUUCCAUGGUCAUAUGUUUCUGCAAACGAAGAAGUAUUGUGUACUACUUUAUAUUAAGGAGAAAAUUUUGAAGAAGCUAUCUAAGCAGCAGGUGUGUUCUAGACUGUCUUUUUACAACUGUUCUAGACUUUCUUUGUUUUCUUUUCGUUUCAAUAAAAUGGGUUUGUUCUAAAGCUUGAUCCUUUAUAUGAUCUUGACCAAGCUUUAAGGUUUGCGUGUGUGGACCGUGGUCAGACAGAGAAUAGCUGUUGUAGUCAGACAGAGAAUAUAUGUUGUGUGAAGUGUCCAUUCUGUGAGUGGUUUGCGUGUGUGGACCGUAAUGUUCCUUGACGUGAAUCUAUGAGCAGUGAAGAGUUUCAGAUUCUUCAGGCUCAUAAAAUAUAUCAAGCUGAUAUCAUAUUGCAUCGCUUGGCUAGGUAGAAGAGGCGGAGACGGUGUCAGCAAUGUCGUGUAAUGAUUUUAAUUUCUCAAGGCUGCAACCAUGACUUGCCGGUAAGACAUACACCCAUAGAACGUUUCAUAUCUAUAUAGUGUUUGGCUUUGUGGUUUCUUAUAUCAAUGUUGAGAUAUCUCUUUGUGUUCUUUGUAUGUGUGGGCAUGAGUUUUGCUACUGUUGUGGAGUGGAGUACAGUGAAGGACAACAGAGUUGCACAUGUGCUUUGUGGUGGAUUGUUGCAGGAAGUUUACAGAGGAAAGCAAAAUACGGUAUGCUUGGAGCAAAUACGCUGAGCUAGAGAGGUCUCUUGCUGAGACUGAACUAGCUAGAACUAUCUUUGAGCUUGCAAUCUCUCAGUCAGCACUUGACAUGCCCUAACUGCUAUGGAAGACGUAUAUAGGUUUUGAGAUAUCAGAAGGAGAAUCAGAGAGGACGUGAGCUUUAUAUGAGCGACUAUAGGACCACACAAAGCAUUACAAGGUGUGGCGGUGUAGGUUAGUUUUGCAAAGUUUGAAGCUUAUGCUGCGGAUCAAGAAGAAGACAAGGAAGAGGAAGACCAAGAAGAAAUAGUUGCUAUUGAACUAAAAAAAGAGUGCAUCAGACGUGCCUGAGCUCUUUUCGAGAGAGCCAACAGCUACUACAAAGACUCUGCACCAGAGUUGAAAGAAGAAUGAGCUACACUAUUGGAAGACUGGCUUAACAUGUAGACCAACUUUGGUAAUCUCGAGGAUGUGAGUGUGGUACAAUCUAAUCUCCCGAAGAAUCCCAAGAAGAAAAAAAACAACCACUAGAGAAGAUGGGUCUACAGAGUAUGAAGAAUACAUUGAUUACCUAUAUCCAGAAGAAUCGCAGACAACAAAUCUCAAGAUUCUUGAAGCUGCUUACAAGUGGAAGAAGCAGAAACUUGCAGCUUCUGAGGAGGAUUACGAUUAUUACCAAGUUUCUUUUGAGUUAUAUCAAAACUGUGAGUUGAUAUUUUUUGGAUUGUGUUAAAACUCACUGUUAUUGUUGUUUGUUUAUUUUGGCAUUAGACCUUUAGGUUUGUGUUCUCUGUACAUCGCCAUUGUUGUUAUGUUAUAGUCACUAACAUGUAUCUAACAAUUGCUUAAACUUUUGGUUUGUCCUCCAUGGUGAUUUGAAUAAUGCUGAUUUUGGAAUA